GCACUAAGCUGUCAAAUGAGUUAUUGAGGUUAUCUUUACAAACUUUCGGCAAUAACUUGACUUUCUGCUCAACAGAUAUGCUAAAUGAAUACCAAUCACAAUUGUUUAGAAUAUAUUUACGCAAGGGAGGAAGUGGAUCUACAGAACGGUUGUUCUUUGGUAACGUAAUGACAAUCGGAACAUGGUCACUACCAUAAGUGGAUGAUAAACAUCUCCAACUCAGACUCAAAGAUAGCGUAGGUGAACAAAGUGAGAUAUCGACAAAACUUAAAGAUUGGCCGGGACAGGGUCUCCUUGUUGCUGAACCAUCGUUUAAAACGCACAGAUUUAACUCGUCUAUAAGCUCCACAAGAUCACUACCAAAUGAAUCAUUGACUGGUGCACCCCAAAGAGAAUGGUGUGCAUUAAAAUCACCUAAAAUUAACACAGGCGCAGGAAGAGAUAGGAUUAAAUUUCUUAAAAUCGGAAUAACAGAUGAAUCUUUGCAAGAAAUGUAUACAGACAGUACUGAAAUAUCCCCAAUUUUUGCAGCUACUGCAUUCAAGUGAUUAUUAUUGUAGGAAGGAAGUGCUAGUGAUGUAAAUAAGUUUUGAAGGUGAAGGUGAUUUGGGAGAACUAGCUGUGACAUCUGAGUAUGACUUAGUGAAUGGAAACUGUUUAGAGGCUUCUAGAUAUGAUACUGUGUUAACUGACAUAUAAUGCUUUAUGUUUUUUUGUCGUAUAAAUUCAGGACAGGUUUGUUCAUUUGCUUGAUGUUUCCCUGCACAAUUAAUGCAGGAAACAUCUGUCUCGUCGCAAUUAGAGCCUGAGUGGUCCCCGGUGCAUUUAAAGCACCUGGGUUUGCUUCUGCAUUGAACCCUGGUAUGUCCAAAACGACAACAGUUAAAACACUGAAUUGUUGGGAAUAUGUACUGGUCAACAGGCAGUGAGGAAAAAAAGGAAUAAAUUCGGGGAGGAAGAGCUUGACCAUCGAAUGUAAGGACUACCGUCUGAGUGGGCAACCAUUUAGGGCCUUCAAGUGAUGUAACUUUGCGGCUUAGCCGGCGAGACCGAAUGAUUGGACCAAAGCCUUCAGGAACUCUUAAAUUUCCUACAAUCUCUUCAUGCGACCAUUCGCAGGGAAUGCCUUUGACAAUGCCCAUUUUGGUGAUAUUGUAUGUUGGGAUAGAUAAAACAUAAUCAUGUAAUAUAAUUGGAUUACACAAAAAUGAGUUUGCCGCACCAGGUGUUUUGAAUGUCACUGCCAAUCGAUUUCGCCCUAUUCGUUUAAUGCCAUCAUCCAAAAUAUUUUUUAAAUUAUUUCUGAAUAGAAAAUUCCCAAAUUUGAUGGGGUGAAGAGUGGAGCCAGAGUUGGGAGUUUCUUUUUGUUGGACAUGUACCAGAAAAGGACCUGCAUCCUGAUCCUGGUAAUUGUUUCUGCCUAUUAUAUGGUUAUUCUGUUGAGAAUGUUGGAUCACCGGAGCUGGAGGAGCUUGCGUUAAAAUUUCUUGAAAAGCAGUGGUAAUGUGCAUUUUAGGAGAGGAUUUGGUCUUUAAUAAAUGUUUGUUAAUUUU